rnacentral:rRNA from 1 species
UGCGCAGGCGGCCGUGUGUGUCAGAUGUGAAAUCCCGGAGCUUAACUCCGGAACUGCGUCUGAAACUACACGGCUAGAGCAUUGGAGAGGGAAGUGGAAUUCACGGUGUAGCAGUGAAAUGCGUAGAUAUCGUGAGGAACACCAGAGGCGAAGGCGACUUCCUGGACAAUUGCUGACGCUCAGGCACGAAAGCGUGGGGAGCCAAAG